rnacentral:rRNA from 1 species
GCACCACUUAUCGUGGUGGGAGACAGUGUCAGGCGGGCAGUUUGACUGGGGCGGUCGCCUCCUAAAAGGUAACGGAGGCGCUCAAAGGUUCCCUCAGAAUGGUUGGAAAUCAUUCAUAGAGUGUAAAGGCAUAAGGGAGCUUGACUGCGAGACCUACAAGUCGAGCAGGGUCGAAAGACGGACUUAGUGAUCCGGUGGUUCCGCAUGGAAGGGCCAUCGCUCAACGGAUAAAAGCUACCCCGGGGAUAACAGGCUUAUCUCCCCCAAGAGUUCACAUCGACGGGGAGGUUUGGCACCUCGAUGUCGGCUCAUCGCAUCCUGGGGCUGUAGUCGGUCCCAAGGGUUGGGCUGUUCGCCCCUUAAAGCGGUACGCGAGCUGGGUUCAGAACGUCGUGAGAC